rnacentral:rRNA from 1 species
GAUGAACGCUGGCGGCGUGCUUAACACAUGCAAGUCGAACGGUGAAGGCGGAGCUUGCUCUGCUGGAUCAGUGGCGAACGGGUGAGUAACACGUGAGCAAUCUGCCCCUGACUCUGGGAUAAGCGCUGGAAACGGCGUCUAAUACUGGAUACGAGCUGCGAAGGCAUCUUCAGCAGCUGGAAAGAACUUCGGUCAGGGAUGAGCUCGCGGCCUAUCAGCUUGUUGGUGAGGUAACGGCUCACCAAGGCGUCGACGGGUAGCCGGCCUGAGAGGGUGACCGGCCACACUGGGACUGAGACACGGCCCAGACUCCUACGGGAGGCAGCAGUGGGGAAUAUUGCACAAUGGGCGAAAGCCUGAUGCAGCAACGCCGCGUGAGGGACGACGGCCUUCGGGUUGUAAACCUCUUUUAACAGGGAAGAAGCGAAAGUGACGGUACCUGCAGAAAAAGCGCCGGCUAACUACGUG